GGCCACACCCACAGCAUAGGGAAGUUCCCGGGUUAGCGGUCAAAUCAAAGCUGCAGCUGCCAGCCUACACCACAGCCACAGCAAUGUGGGAUCCAAGCCACAUCUGCAACCUACACCACAGCUCAAGGCAACGCUAGAUCCUUAACCCAAUGAGAGAGGCCAGGGAUAGUAUUCUUAACCCAUUGGAUAUUAAUUGGGUCUAUAACCCUCUGAACCACAACAGGGACUCCUAGGCAGGCAUUUCUAAUGACAUCUCCAGACCAAGGAAUCAGAAGCACAAAGUUUUGAUGGACAUCAAGUUGUCUUUUAAACACAUACACUCCAAGUCUCUCAGCAAGUACAAGUUCCCAGCCAAUCUGCAAGUGUUAAGCUGUGCACUGAGUUCACCCUUAUUUUUUAAUUUUUAUUUCUUUUUCUUUUUUCUUUUUACUGCUGUCGCUUUGGCACACAGAGGUUCCCAGGCUAGGGGUCAAAUUGGAGCUGCAGCUGCUGGCCUAUACCACAGCCACAGCAACUCGGUAUCUGAGCCACAUCUGCAACCUAGGCCACACGUUUCAGCAACGCCAUAUCCUUAAUCCACUGAGUGAGGCCAGGGAUCAAACCCUCAUCCUCAUAGGGACUAUGUCAGGUUUUUAACCCACUGAGCCACAGGGGAACUCGAGGGGGAAAAAAAAUUAAUGCUCCAGGAAACCCUUCCUUUAAUCGGAUGCACAAUAGGAAUGAACAGAAGACUAGAGCUAGAUCUACCUGCAAAUGUACAAGCUUUAGAGAGGGCUGAGAGACCCCUGUCCUUUAAAUGUCCCCUAUUGGAGGUAUGUCAGCAAUUCCACCAUUAGAGCAGUGCAGCUGAAGCCUAAGCCUCUGUAUGUGGAUAAUGGGCAAACCAUAAUAAUCGCUCCCAUUUACCAAGCACUUAUUAUGUGCCAGCCUUGUCUUGAGAACUUGACACUAUGAACCCAAUUCACCCGCUUUCACCCUGUGGCUGAGUUCUCUUAUGCUGUAUAUUUGAGAGAGACAUUGAGGCACUGAGGUUAAGUCGCCAGCCCAGGGUCACAGAACCAGGACAUGGAAGAGCUGGACGACAUCCCAAACUCGGGCAGAGUUAGGAGUUAAAUCACUGGUCUCUACUGCCUGCCUGGACAGCAGGAGACCCUUAGCCCUUGGCAGUUCUUUCUUUGUAAAGCCAUCCCAGCUGCCGUCUGUUCAAGGGAAGGCGGGGAGAGGAGGGACCACAUAGACUCGAGUUCUGACUCUGCUUGGGUGCCCCUCUUCUGGGGGAGAAAGCAAGUGAGCCUGGGGCUCUAGGCCCUCCCCACCCCAGUCUCUGUCCCUGCCCGGGCACAUGCCAAUCUCCCCAGUCAGCCACCUGUCACCUGAGCAUCACAGCUGCCGCCUGGAGGCCCCCUGGCCCCUCCCAAUGCAGGGGCCCCAAGGCAGGGGAAGGGAGGCCAACCCCCCUAAUGGGCUUUUCUGCCAGGCUUACAAAUCCUCCAGCUCAAGUUCACCAGGAGGUCAAGAUGUUCUCCUCCUACCUCCCCACCUCUGCAAACCCCUAACUCCCCCACCCCCACAGCCAGCACCAGAUGAGCUCCAGCCCCCAGGCCCCUUGCUGGCCCACAAGGAUCCUCCUUCCCCACCCGCAGCCCUGUGGCUGAGAGACAGGAGGAGUGUGGGUGCCGCUGUCCCAGAAGGGGAUGUAGCCCAAGCCGAAGCCUGAGGAUCAGAGGUGGAGUCUCCCAGGAAAUCUGCCUCCCAGAAAAGCCUCCCACGCAGGUGGUAGUGGAGAAGUUCAGAACAGCUGGAUUCUAAACUCCUCGGCCAAUGACAGAAACAGCUUAGAAGGCAUGUCGCCAUUGGGGAGGGGGGGGAUCCUCGGUUUUCUUAUAUAUUAAAUGGGCUUACUGCUCUCAUUCAAAACUUCGUGGAGUUUGCAUGGUGUCAGAGUCUUACUAACCAGGUGACCCCAGUGCAUCUACUCUUAAAACCCUUUGCCACUGUAGCAAAAGAGCAAAAAUGUUUGUGUGUGAUAUGCUGCAGCCAAGAAAACAAAUAGCAUUUGAAAAAUACCUUAUAUUGUAGAGAAAUGGACACCACAUAUUGUUAAAUGAAAAUGACAGGCAAUGAGGCACUAGGUUCAUAUAAUCAAGCUUCAUUAAUAAAUAUAUGACAUGAACAAAUAUAAAACUAGGAAAUAUUUACAUAUCUGUAUCCAGAUAUAUAGAUAUAUUAAACUUGGAGAUAUACAUAUUUUUUAAAUUUUUUGUGCUUUUCAAUAUUUGUUAUCAAUUUUUUUUAAAUUUUUGGAUACCUAAAGCUUUAAUUUUACUCUGUU
rnacentral:lncRNA from 9 species